AUUGAACGCUGGCGGCAGGCUUAACACAUGCAAGUCGAACGAGUGGCGGACGGGUGAGUAAUGCUUGGGCAUCCAGCUUAUGGAGGGGGAUAACUACGGGAAACUGUAUCUAAUACCGCGUACCAUAGGAUGAGCCUAAGUGGGCUUAGGUAGUUGGUGAGGUAAAGGCUCAUAAAGGCGACGAUCUCUAGCUGGUCUGAGAGGCUGACCAGCCACACUGGGACUGAGACACGGCCCAGACUCCUACGGGAGGCAGCAGUGGGGAAUAUUGCACAAUGGGCGCAAGCCUGACGCAGCCAUGCCGCGUGAAUGAAGAAGGACUUCGGGUUGUAAAGUACUUUCAGUAGGGAGGCGUUACCGACAGAAGAAGCACCGGCUAACUCCGUGCCAGCAGCCGCGGUAAUAC
rnacentral:rRNA from 1 species